AGCAGCCGCGGUAAUUCCAGCUCCAAUAGCGUAUAUUAAAGUUGUUGCAGUUAAAAAGCUCGUAGUUGAAUUUCGGGAUCAAUAUGCUGGUCGUGCCUUUGGUACGUACUGGUAUUAUUGGUUUCUCCUUUCUGAUGAAUCAUGAUGUCAUUAAUUUGGUGUCAUGGGGAAUCAGAACUGUUACUUUGAAAAAUUAGAGUGUUUAAAGCAGGCUUACGCUUGAAUACAUUAGCAUGGAAUAAUGAAAUAGGACGUUUAAUUCUAUUUUGUUGGUUUCUAGGAUUGACGUAAUGAUUAAUAGGGAUAGUUGGGGGCAUUAGUAUUCAAUUGUCAGAGGUGAAAUUCUUGGAUUUAUUGAAGACUAACUACUGCGAAAGCAUUUGCCAAGGAUGUUUUCAUUAAUCAAGAACGAAAGUUAGGGGAUCGAAGACGAUCAGAUACCGUCGUAGU
rnacentral:rRNA from 1 species